rnacentral:rRNA from 1 species
UGCCUUUUGAGUUUUUUUUAAAGGUUAUUUCUGCUCGGUGUUUUUUAACAGCCGCGGUAAUUUGACCGUGCAAAGGUAGCAUAAUCAUUUGCCUUGUAAUUUAGGGCUGGCAUGAAUGAAUAAACAAAGGUUUUUCUUUAUUAAAAAAAGUUAUUGAAUUUUCUUUCUCAGUGAAGAAGCUGGGAUUCUAAAAGGGGACAAGAAGACCCUUUCGAGCUUUACUAAGGUUUCCUUUUUGGUUAAACUUAGUUUGGUUGGGGCGACCUAGGAAUUAGAUCUUCCUUUAUUAAUUUUGAUCCACAGUUUGUGAGUAAAAGAGUAAGUUACCGAAGGGAUAACAGCGUGAUUUUCUUUGAGAGCUCUUAUUAAAAAGAAAGAUUGCGACCUCGAUGUUGACUUAUAGUUUCCUUUUGGUGUAGCCGCUAUGAGGGUGGGUCUGUUCGACCUUUAAAACUUU